AGUCUUAUAUUAUGAAUAUAAGUACUGAAACUGAUCGGAAUAGCCACAUCAAUAUUUUCAUUUGUUCUAUCUACCCUACUUCUUAUCAUUUGUGAAGCACUAAAGAUGCUGAUAUCCUAUCUGACUUAUAAGCGAAUGUCGUGACGACUUCAGAGCUAUGCAAAUUUAUUAGAGUCGUUUGCUGGUUUAGUUUUCUUUUGCUGUCUAAAAUAUAUGAUAUUGAAGGGGAAUAUCAUUUAUUUCAAUCAAAAUAUUUUUUAGAAGAAACCUAUGAAGUAGAAUUUCUGGAACAAUUUGACCUUAUUCCUUAACUUGAGAAUAAAAUUAAAAGAGGUCUUGGACUGAGGAUCGAAUACAUGGCCUAGUAAUUGAGGAUCAAUAUACAGAAAAUUUUAGUAAGUUUAUCUUACCAACUAAUGAUCAUGAUAAAACAUAUCUUUAUUGAAGUUAAUUACUUUUGAAAUAUUUAGGAUGUUAGCUGAACUUUAGAAGAAACCUAUGAAGUAGAAUUUCUGGAACAAUUUGACCUUAUUCCUUAACUUGAGAAUAAAAUUAAAAGAGGUCUUGGACUGAGG
rnacentral:lncRNA from 1 species